ensembl:lncRNA
AAAAUAGAAAGAGAAUAGAAAGAGCAAAGAAAGAGAAACAUAAAUAUGAUAAAACAAAGUAAAAAAAGAAAAAAUGAGUUCGACGGUUCGAUCGAAACGAAUAAAGGAAUAAAUAAAAAGUUUGAUAAAGAUAUAAUUUAUGAACAAAUACAUUCUUUACCAACACAAAAUAAUCCUAGAUGUUUAGUCAGUUCAAAUCCAAAAGACAAUUUGUUAAAUUAUUUUUCUACAAUAAUAAAAUUUAAAUAUAAUGAUAACAAUUUUAAAAAAAAAUGGUAUACACAUUUGUACAAAAUAUGUCUCCAAAAUGAUAAUAAACAUACAACUUAUGAUAAAAACAUUAAAAAUCAUAAACACAAAAAUAAAAAUAAAAACGCAUAUACAACAUAUGAAAACAAUAUAGAUAAUACAUUAAACAAAUUUCAAGGAUUGGUAGUUAGAAAAUUAAAUUGUGAAACUUUAUAUUAUCAAAAAAUUUUAGUAAUUUUUGCUUUAUUAUUCGAUUUAUACCACAAUAAAAAAAAUGUUGUAUCUACACAAAAAAAAUUAUUAACAUGGGACGAAAAAUCAUUAAUGUUAGAUGAAGGUACUAACAAUAUAUAUGAUGAACGGACUACCAACAAUGGACAAAAUGCAGAUAACAAGUCGAUAUGCAAUAAUACCAGUAAUAAUACCACUAAUAAUACCAGUAAUAAUACCACUAAUAAUACCACUAAUAAUACCACUAAUAAUACCAGUAAUAAUAUGUAUAAAUCCAAAAAAAGAUCUUUAUCUAAAUUCCGUUACUUGCAUUAUGAUAAUGAAGAGGGUCGCGAACAAGGACACGAACAAAUACACAAACCGAUCGAAAGUUUUAAUAAAAAAAUAUUAACAAAUCAUGAUAUAAAUAAUGAAACAGAAAAUAAUAACAACGAAGUAACAAAAUAUAUGAAUGAUCCUAAAAAAUAUUAUAUUAUAGAAUUUAAAAAUAUUUUAUUUGUUGAAAAAAAAAAAUUUAAUAAUAUAGAACUUUUUUAUCAUAUAACUAAUUUUAUUAUACAUAAAUAUUGGUAUUCUAAAGAACAUACAGCUUAUAAUAUGUUUAUAUGGUUUUUAAAUUAUAUGAGUGUCAAAUUAGAAAUUAAAAAAUGUAUAAAUAAAAUAAAUGAACAAUUAGAAGUGUUUAUUGAUUUGCACCCCAAAAUUUUUAACAUUUCACAUGCAAAAAAGAAACGAAAAAAAGUUGACAUUUCUGGUCCUUCUUCUGCUAGUGGUAAUGGUUUUACUAGUCAUAUUGAUGGUACCGGUGGUUAUAAUACUGGAUAUGGAGGUAAUAAUACUGGAUAUGGAGGUAAUAAUACUGGAUAUGGNNNNNNNNNNUAUGGAGGUAAUAAUACUGGAUAUGGAGGUAAUAAUACUGGAUAUGGUGAUUAUAAUACCGGGUAUGAUGGUAAUAAUACCGGGUAUGAUAGUAACUACAUUGAAAGAAAUGAAAACAUUCAAUAUCAAUAUUUUGAAGGUGGAGUAUGUGAUUACCCAAGUUUAGAAAAUAGAUACAAACAAACUGGAGGUGGUUUUUCCAAUUUGUUAAAUUCGGAUAAUAAAAAUAAACAAACUAUGAAUAAUAUGAACAAUAUGAACAACAUGAAUAGCAUGAAUAAUAUGACUAAUUUAAAUUUGUUUCAGACAUCUACAAACAAUACAAAUACAGGAGGUCUUAACAUGUUUAAUAAUAAUAGUAAUAGUAAUAAAAAUAUUUUUGGUAAUUUUACUAAUAAUACUAUGAGCAGUACCAUGAAUAACACUAUGAGCGGUACCAUGAAUAACACUAUGAGCNNUACAAUGGAUAAUAAUAAUAACAUAAAUACAACAGACACAGGAAAUAAUAACAAAACAAACGAAUUAAACAAAAGUACGAUCAAUUUAUUUGGUUCUACAAAUAGACCAACUAAUAAUCCUAAUUAUGCCGAAUUAUUCACUAAUGAAACAGGAUCAAAAGAAUUAUUUAAAGACCUAAAACUUAGUAACGAUACAGGUUCUAAAUUUAGUGUUAAUAAAAGACCUUUAUUUGGUAGUAGAGCCAAAGAAACGAAUAUGUUAGUAUCUAAUAGUGCUACUACUAAUCUUGCUAGUAGAACUACUGACUUAAAUAGUACAAAUAAUAUCUUUAGUUCUUCUUAUGUAAAUAGAGACAAUUUAUUAACUAGUCAGGAAAAACCUAUGAAAGUUAUAUUUGGUCAACACAAUAAUACUACCACUAACAAUAACAACGUUUCUAAUACUGGCAUAGGUAGUAGAAAUAAAACUACUGGUUUUGGUAUAACAUCAGGUAGUUCCAUAUUUGGUGCAACAUCUAAUAAUAUGGCAAACAAUAACAAUCUUAUGAAUUCUUUAACAAAUAAUGUUGUUAAGGGUGGUAUAUUUAAUCAAGAAAACAACAGUAACAACAACGGCAGUGGCAUUAUUAGUGAUAAUAAUAAUAAUAAUAAUGUCAUUGCACAAUCAGAAACAAAUAAAUUCACUUUUAAUGCAUCUUCAACUAGUAAUUUAUUUGGAAACAGUAUGAAUAUGUUUGGAAAAAAUAAUAAAGAAACUACUGAUGGUAGUACUACUAAUACUAUUAACAAUCAUUUGACACUUUUUGGAAAUAAUACAAAAAAUAAUUUAUUGGAUACAAAUAACACCGAUAGUUCACUAACCACAAGUGGUAAUAAUCUAUUUCGUAAUUUAAAUAAUAAUACUACAACAAACCAAAUAAAUAAUGCAUCAGUUUUAAAUAUACCAACAAAAAAAUUAACCUUAGAAGAAAGAAAAAAAAAAAACUGCUAAAAAUAAAAGUAUUGUUUCAUUAUUUUCA